rnacentral:rRNA from 1 species
UCAGCAGCCGCGGUAAUACAGAGGGUGCAAGCGUUAAUCGGAAUUACUGGGCGUAAAGCGCGCGUAGGCGGUUGUGUAAGUUGGAUGUGAAAUCCCCGGGCUUAACCUGGGAACUGCAUUCAAAACUGCACGGCUAGAGUACGGGAGAGGGGGGUAGAAUUCCAGGUGUAGCGGUGAAAUGCGUAGAGAUCUGGAGGAAUACCGAUGGCGAAGGCAGCCCCCUGGCCUGAUACUGACGCUGAGGUGCGAAAGCAUGGGGAGCAAACAGGAUUAGAUACCCUGGUAGUCCAUGCCGUAAACGAUGUCGACUAGGUGUUGGGGAACUUGAUUCCUUAGUGCCGCAGCUAACGCAUUAAGUCGACCGCCUGGGGAGUACGGCCGCAAGGUUAAAACUCAAAUGAAUUGACGGGGGCCCGCACA